rnacentral:rRNA from 1 species
UCGGCGGUGCGUGGGGUUUGAUGCGGGUCCAAACGGUGAGCAGAGCUUGCUCUGUGGAUCAGUGGCGAACGGGUGAGUAACACGUGAGCAACCUGCCCCUGACUCUGGGAUAAGCGCUGGAAACGGCGUCUAAUACCGGAUAUGAGCUGCGAUCGCAUGGUCAGCAGUUGGAAAGAUUUUUCGGUCUGGGAUGGGCUCACGGCCUAUCAGCUUGUUGGUGAGGUAAUGGCUCACCAAGGCGUCGACGGGUAGCCGGCCUGAGAGGGUGACCGGCCACACUGGGACUGAGACACGGCCCAGACUCCUACGGGAGGCAGCAGUGGGGAAUAUUGCACAAUGGGCGAAAGCCUGAUGCAGCAACGCCGCGUGAGGGAUGACGGCCUUCGGGUUGUAAACCUCUUUUAGCAGGGAAGAAGCGAAAGUGACGGUACCUGCAGAAAAAGCGCCGGCUAACUACGUGCCAGCAGCCGCGGUAAUACGUAGGGCGCAAGCGUUAUCCGGAAUUAUUGGGCGUAAAGAGCUCGUAGGCGGUUUGUCGCGUCUGCUGUGAAAUCCCGAGGCUCAACCUCGGGUCUGCAGUGGGUACGGGCAGACUAGAGUGCGGUAGGGGAGAUUGGAAUUCCUGGUGUAGCGGUGGGAUGGCGCAGAUAUCGGAGGAACACCGAUGGGCAAAGGCAGAUCUCUGGGCCGUUACUGACGCUGAAGAAGCGAAAGGGUGG